rnacentral:rRNA from 1 species
GAUGAACGCUGGCGGCGUGCCUAAUACAUGCAAGUCGAGCGAACGGACGAGAAGCUUGCUUUUCUGAUGUUAGCGGCGGACGGGUGAGUAACACGUGGAUAACCUACCUAUAAGACUGGGAUAACUUCGGGAAACCGGAGCUAAUACCGGAUAAUAUUUUGAACCGCAUGGUUCAAAAGUGAAAGACGGUCUUGCUGUCACUUAUAGAUGGAUCCGCGCUGCAUUAGCUAGUUGGUAAGGUAACGGCUUACCAAGGCAACGAUGCAUAGCCGACCUGAGAAGGUGAUCGGCCACACGGGGACUGAGGCGCGGUCCAGACUCCUGCGGGAGGAAACAGAAGGGAAUCUUCCGCAAUGGGCGAAAGCCUAACAGAGCAAAGCCGCGUGAGUGAUGAAGGUCUUCGGAUCGUAGAACUCUGUUAUUAGGGAAGAACAUAUGUGUAAGUAACUGUGCACAUCUUGACGGUACCUAAUCAGAAAGCCACGGCUAACUACGUG